GCGGCUAUGGCGGAAUUGGCAGACGCGCUAGAUUUAGGUUCUAGUGUCAACCGACGUGGGGGUUCAAGUCCCUCUAGCCGCACCA
rnacentral:tRNA from 1 species